UACGUAGGUGGCAAGCGUUUGUCCGGAUUUAUUGGGUUUAAAGGGUGCGUAGACGGCUUUGUAAGUCAGUGGUGAAAUAUGGCAGCUCAACUGUCAGGGUGCCAUUGAUACUGCGGAGCUUGAGUACAGAUGAGGUAGGCGGAAUUGACGGUGUAGCGGUGAAAUGCUUAGAUAUCGUCAAGAACACCGAUAGCGAAAGGCAGCUUACUGGGCUGUAACUGACGCUGAGGCACGAAAAGUGUGGGGGAUCAAACAGG
rnacentral:rRNA from 1 species